GACGGAGGGCGCUAGCGUUGUUCGGAAUGACUGGGCGUAAAGGGCGCGUAGGCGGCUCGUGAAGUCGGGUGUGAAAGCCCGGGGCUCAACCCCGGAACGGCAUCCGAUACUGGCGGGCUUGAGACCGGGAGAGGAGGGUGGAAUACCCAGUGUAGAGGUGAAAUUCGUAGAUAUUGGGUGGAACACCGGUGGCGAAAGCGGCUCUCUGGCCCGGAUCUGACGCUGAGGCGCGAAAGCGUGGGGAGCAAACAGG
rnacentral:rRNA from 1 species